CUUUCCCAGCUCUGCCCUUCAGCUGGUCGGAAACCAUGGCCAUGGAAAGCCUCCUUUUUCGUUUGAUACAGACCCUCAAGCCAAACAGAUGGAGACUAUCACUCAAGUUCUUGGAAAUUCAGCAAGGAGUUCAGUGUCCUAAAAUGAGAAGAAGGAUGAAACAGAGAUCUGCCACCCACAGAACCAUACAGGAGGUUUCUUCAUGAGGAAAGAUAGAGUUCUGCAUCUGCUCUGUAUUCAGCCCUGAGAUCCAGCUUCCACAGCCCAAGGCAUGAUAAGGUAUUGGUUUAUGGAAAAUAAAUACUCACGAAAGUAAAGGUAUUGCAGACACCCUUUACCCCAAAGACACCAGACCUUGAAGGGAAACAUGGCAGUCAGUACUCUGUUUCCUUCCAAAUAUUUCCCACCUGGGUUUAAAGCAAAGCACUCCAAAGAUGUUGAGUUGUUUGGCUCUGUGAGAGAAACUGUUUGGGCUUAAGACUUUGUGACUGGCUGAGACUCAAAAUCUGGGGCUGGGCUGCACCAAAUAGCCCUGGGCAGAGUGUUCUCUACCUGGGCCACAGGAAGGUAAUUCAGCUCUUGUCUCCUAAGGGCAUUCGCUGCACUGAGCCCCAUGGAGGAUGACAACCAUAUUGUAUUCACCACAAUUCAAAUUUAAAUUAUCCUGCAUUAUGCUUCCUUGAAAUUCAAAGCCAAACUCAUCAGUGGCAAAGCCUGCAUUCUCUUAUCAGAAAAAUUCUUUUAUGAUCUAUUUAAUUCCUGUCAUUAUUUGGUUUGAAUCAUCUUCAACUCAGUUGUUUAUGAUAACCAUGCAGUCCAAAAUGAUCUCCAAAAUCCUGGAGAAGCGUGGGGACCUGGGAAGCAUGGCAGUCUCUCCUGCCAAGAGCAAAGGAUCUUCCAGAUUGAGUCCCUUUUUGCCUUCUCCCUUCUUGGCCUUCAAGGCAGGAUUUCUACCAUCUCUUGGUAUUUUUGGUCACUGAGCUCUUCCUCUGCCAGCCAGCUCCAAAAUUCUUCAUUGAUGAGGAGCCAGAGAGCCCAGGCAGAAUACCAAUGCAUCUCUCUGUCCAGCAGGCAGCGCAUCUGUAUUUAUCAUGGUAGGAAUAAUAUCAGCAUUUGUUUAAGCAUUUUUUGUGGCCCGGAGGGGGGAAAAUAUCUAUCAAAUUUAGUAAAUGCGUUUUACGUUGCAGCACUUUGAGAUCCAACCAUAUCAUCUGUAAUGAAAACAGAGCAACCUUUAAAAUAAGUCUAAAAAAAAAAAAAAGAAAGAAAGAAAGAAAGAAAGAAAGAAAGAAAGAAAGAAAAGAAAAACCUCUCUCCCAGAGACAUGGCCUGAACCAGUGCCAAAGAUUUCAAGCUGGUGAACCAGCAAAGGAGUCAGAUAAAUCAGAAUGAGUGUAACAGAUCUGAUCUAUUUCAGCUCAGAUUAACCUCUCUACUAUGUCUCCAAUGGCCAAAAAUCCUGGGUUGCAAGAAUAAAAGUGUUUAAUAGAGCAGAACUUUGGGGGAAAAAAUAAAAAGAGAGAAACUGCCUAAAGGAAAGUGAGACGUGUGACCAUGGCUAUACAUGACCCGACUAUGGUUAAGAGUCAAGAGCAGAGGAGGAAAGGAUUCUGUAACGUGCCAAUCUGAAAGGCAGAUUUAUUUCACUUGUAUAUAAUAAUUCCAGAUCCCAGUGACAAUUUACGUUAGUUGGCAACAGCUGCUUAUAGGUCAGGUAACAAUAGCAUUGAAUAACCUCAUAAUGAACAAAUGCGGAUUUCACAUUGGUGUUAAUUGCAUUUCAUGCUCUCUGAAAACCCCAAGCAGGCUGUGUGAAAAAUAGAGAACCAGGUUCUGCUUUUCUGAUUAUUUUUAUCCUGAGGUGAAAGCCCUUUCCAAAUCUUAAGAAGGGAGGUGCAGGGUGGGACGACGAUCAUGAGUCAUGGACCAAGUGUGUGUGUCUGGACCAACGCCUGUGGGUAUUUUCUAAGAAUGGGGGACACCCGUUCAAGUUUGCAAAGAGUGUAUAGAGGAGCCUAUUCCUGGGGUCCGACCAGGACCAGAACAGGUUUUAUAGCACACAGGGGUUCCCUCCUCUUUGUCAGUCAUGAUGUUGGGUUUUAGUCCUGCAAUUUAAGUACCACAGUCAGUGGAAGAGUCCAGAUCUGAAUCUAUGGCUGUAGGCCUUGGGUAAGCGUGCAGUUUGCAUUUCUCAGGCUUUCCCCUCACCCAUUUUAUUGAGAUAUAAUUGACACAUAAAACUGUUUAAGGUAUGCACCAUAACAAUUUGACAAAUGUGUGUAUUGUGAAAUGAUUACCACAAUAAUUUAACAUCCAUCA